rnacentral:rRNA from 1 species
GAUGAACGCUGGCGGCGUGCCUAACACAUGCAAGUCGAGCGAUUUACUUCGGUAAAGAGCGGCGGACGGGUGAGUAACGCGUGGGUAACCUGCCUCAUACACAUGGAUAACAUACCGAAAGGUAUGCUAAUACAGGAUAAUAUAAGAGGUUCACAUGGAUUUCUUAUCAAAGCUCCGGCGGUAUGAGAUGGACCCGCGUCUGAUUAGCUAGUUGGUAAGGUAAUGGCUUACCAAGGCGACGAUCAGUAGCCGACCUGAGAGGGUGAUCGGCCACAUUGGAACUGAGACACGGUCCAAACUCCUACGGGAGGCAGCAGUGGGGAAUAUUGCACAAUGGGCGAAAGCCUGAUGCAGCAACGCCGCGUGAGUGAUGAAGGCCUUCGGGUCGUAAAACUCUGUCCUCAAGGAAGAUAAUGACGGUACUUGAGGAGGAAGCCCCGGCUAACUACGUGCCAGCAGCCGCGGUAAUACGUAGGGGGCUAGCGUUAUCCGGAUUUACUGGGCGUAAAGGGUGCGUAGGUGGUUUUUUAAGUCAGGAGUGAAAGGCUACGGCUCAACCGUAGUAAGCUCUUGAAACUGGAAAACUUGAGUGCAGGAGAGGAAAGUGGAAUUCCUAGUGUAGCGGUGAAAUGCGUAGAUAUUAGGAGGAACACCAGUAGCGAAGGCGGCUUUCUGGACUGUAACUGACACUGAGGCACGAAAGCGUGGGGAGCAAACAGGAUUAGAUACCCUGGUAGUCCACGCCGUAAACGAUGAGUACUAGGUGUCGGGGGUUACCCCCCUCGGUGCCGCAGCUAACGCAUUAAGUACUCCGCCUGGGGAGUACGCUCGCAAGAGUGA